GCAACUUGGGCUGGCCGUGCCAAGAGACUCUCCAAGGUGCAGUCUUUGAACUCCAAGAAGGCAGAACCCAUGUCUGUUCAGUUGUUCCAUGCAUCCAACACGCUCAGUGCAUAGUCCUUCUUCACACACCUGUGAAAUGGCAGUGCUUACAUUCUUGCCUCCACUUUGCC